rnacentral:rRNA from 1 species
GACGAACGCUGGCGGCGUGCCUAAUACAUGCCAGUUGAGCGCUGAAGGUUGGUACUUGUACCGACUGGAUGAGCAGCGAACGGGUGAGUAACGCGUGGGGAAUCUGCCUUUGAGCGGGGGACAACAUUUGGAAACGAAUGCUAAUACCGCAUAAAAACUUUAAACACAAGUUUUAAGUUUGAAAGAUGCAAUUGCAUCACUCAAAGAUGAUCCCGCGUUGUAUUAGCUAGUUGGUGAGGUAAAGGCUCACCAAGGCGAUGAUACAUAGCCGACCUGAGAGGGUGCUCGGCCACAUUGGGACUGAGACACGGCCCAAACUCCUACGGGAGGCAGCAGUAGGGAAUCUUCGGCAAUGGACGAAAGUCUGACCGAGCAACGCCGCGUGAGUGAAGAAGGUUUUCGGAUCGUAAAACUCUGUUGGUAGAGAAGAACGUUGGUGAGAGUGGAAAGCUCAUCAAGUGACGGUAACUACCCAGAAAGGGACGGCUAACUACGUG